rnacentral:rRNA from 1 species
CCUACGGGAGGCAGCAGUAAGGAAUAUUGGUCAAUGGACGAAAGUCUGAACCAGCCAUGCCGCGUGAAGGAUUAAGGCCCUCUGGGUUGUAAACUUCUUUUAUCUGGGACGAAAAAAGGGUAUUCUUACUCACUUGACGGUACCAGAGGAAUAAGCACCGGCUAACUCCGUGCCAGCAGCCGCGGUAAUACGGAGGGUGCAAGCGUUAUCCGGAUUUACUGGGUUUAAAGGGUGCGUAGGUGGGCUUGUAAGUCAGUGGUGAAAUCUCCGGGCUUAACCCGGAAACUGCCAUUGAUACUAUAGGUCUUGAAUUAUCUGGAGGUAAGCGGAAUAUGUCAUGUAGCGGUGAAAUGCUUAGAUAUGACAUAGAACACCAAUUGCGAAGGCAGCUUACUACGGAUAUAUUGACACUGAGGCACGAAAGCGUGGGGAUCAAACAGGAUUAGAUACCCUGGUAGUCCACGCCCUAAACGAUGGAUACUCGACAUCAGCGAUACACUGUUGGUGUCUGAGCGAAAGCAUUAAGUAUCCCACCUGGAAGUACGAUCGCAAGAUUGAAACUCAAAUGAAUUGACCGGNGNGAGAGAGCGAGACGACACGAGGAGGAGG